GUAAACACAGUGACAAAGAGAGUACAUGUAUUUCUUGUUUUACAGAGAAGCUUUUGUAUGCUGAGAGAAAGCGGAUGAGAAUAUGUGGAAGAUGGCUUUUGAGAGGCGCACCGAAGUAUGAUAUUAUACCAAGGCUGCGACAGGUUCCGCCUGUUAUAGCGGUAAGGUAUGAAAGUACCUGUUGAGGUCUGGGCCGCAAGGCACAGAUGAACAGAAGUGGUAACACGGGUAAAUAUAGCUCGUCUUCUUU
rnacentral:ncRNA from 1 species